rnacentral:tRNA from 1 species
AGGGUUGUAGUUAAAAAAUAACAUUUGAAUUGCACUCAAAAAUUACUGUAGUUCAGUCCACCUUA